rnacentral:rRNA from 1 species
CGCAGCCGCGGUAAUUCCAGCUCCAGUAGCGUAUAUUAAAGUUGUUGCAGUUAAAAAGCUCGUAGUUGAAUUUCGGGAUCAAUAUUUCGGUCAUGCCGUUGGUAUGCACUGUUAUCAUUGAUUUCUCACCUUCUAAAGAACCGUAAUGCCAUUAAUUUGGUGUUACGGGGAAUUAGGACUGUUACCUUGAAAAAUUAGAGUGUUUAAAGCAGGCUCACGCUUGAAUACAUUAGCAUGGAAUAAUGAAAUAGGACAUCCGAUUCUAUUUUGUUGGUUUCUAGGAUCGAUGUAAUGAUUAAUAGGGAUAGUUGGGGGCAUUAGUAUUCAAUUGUCAGAGGUGAAAUUCUUGGAUUUAUUGAAGACUAACUACUGCGAAAGCAUUUGCCAAGGAUGUUUUCAUUAAUCAAGAACGAAAGUUAGGGGAUCGAAGACGAUCAGAUACCGUCGUAGUCUUAACCAUAAACUAUGCCGACUAGGGAUCGGAUGAUGUUAAUUUUUAAUGUACUCA